rnacentral:rRNA from 1 species
CAUUAGUGAAUCGGCCCUCUGUGGCCUUCAUCAAAUCCUCACACCUCUGUGAACUGUUGGGCCUCGGCCCACUUUUAUAAACUUUUGUCGUCAUGAACGUAUGUAAUACAAAACAAAACAAAACUUUCAACAACGGAUCUCUUGGCUCUCGCAUCGAUGAAGAACGCAGCGAAAUGCGAUAAGUAAUGUGAAUUGCAGAAUUCAGUGAAUCAUCGAAUCUUUGAACGCAACUUGCGCCUCUUGGUAUUCCGAGAGGCAUGCCUGUUUGAGUGUCAUGAAUACCUCAACCCCCCACGGUUUUUCGGAACCGAGGGAAGGUUGGAGAUGGGCGUCCUGCCGGUGUCGAGCCGGCUCGCCUUAAAGGUCUCAGUGGUGUCCUUGUACCCCAUGCCUGACGUAAUAAGUUUCGUCUGGGCCGGGUCCUGUGAUGUCCGCUCAUAACUCACCAUAUUCUGUGACUCUGACCUCAAAUCAGGUAGGGCUACCC